UCGAGCGUAUGGUUCUAGCGAGCCCAACCUCCCACCCGUGUUUACUGUAACCUUAGUUGCUUCGGCGGGCCCGCCUUUAAGGCCGCCGGGGGGCAUCAGCCCCCGGGCCCGCGCCCGCCGGAGACACCACGAACUCUGUCUGAUCUAGUGAAGUCUGAGUUGAUUGUAUCGCAAUCAGUUAAAACUUUCAACAAUGGAUCUCUUGGUUCCGGCAUCGAUGAAGAACGCAGCGAAAUGCGAUAACUAGUGUGAAUUGCAGAAUUCCGUGAAUCAUCGAGUCUUUGAACGCACAUUGCGCCCCCUGGUAUUCCGGGGGGCAUGCCUGUCCGAGCGUCAUUGCUGCCCAUCAAGCACGGCUUGUGUGUUGGGUCGUCGUCCCCUCUUCGGGGGGGACGGGCCCCAAAGGCAGCGGCGGCACCGCGUCCGAUCCUCGAGCGUAUGGGGCUUUGUCACCCGCUCUGUAGGCCCGGCCGGCGCUUGCCGAACGCAAAACAACCAUUCUUUCCAGGUUGACCUCGGAUCAGGUAGGGAUACCCGCUGAACUUAAGCAUAUCAUAGCUCGGAAGGAAA
rnacentral:rRNA from 1 species